rnacentral:misc_RNA from 1 species
UCCGAGUUGACCCCGGCAGUCUCCCAUGAGUCCCCGACAUAACUCGCUGGCAACAUGGGACAGGGGUUGCGCUCGUUGCGGGACUUAACCCGACAUCUCACGACACGAGCUGACGACAGCCAUGCACCACCUGUGCACAGGCCCCGAAGGGCUGCCGUAUUUCUACGACAUUCCUGUGCAUGUCAAGCCUUGGUAAGGUUCUUCGCGUCGCGUCGAAUUAAACCACAUACUCCACCGCUUGUGCGGGCCCCCGUCAAUUCCUUUGAGUUUCAGCCUUGCGGCCGUACUCCCCAGGCGGGGCACUUAAUGCGUUAGCGCCGGCACUCAGGGGGUCGCUCCCCCAAGCACCUAGUGCCCAUCGUUUACGGCGUGGACUAC